CGGCCGCGUCGACCCAAGUCUUGACAUCCCGAUGACCGGCACGUAACGGUGCCUUCUCUUCGGAGCAUUGGAGACAGGUGGUGCAUGGUUGUCGUCAGCUCGUGUCGUGAGAUGUUGGGUUAAGUCCCGCAACGAGCGCAACCCUUAUUCUUAGUAGCCAGCGAGUAGAGUCGGGCACUCUAGGGAGACUGCCAGGGAUAACCUGGAGGAAGGUGGGGAUGACGUCAAAUCAUCAUGCCCCUUAUGAUUUGGGCUACACACGUGCUACAAUGG
rnacentral:rRNA from 1 species